rnacentral:lncRNA from 1 species
GGACCAAGAUGAAAGCCAAGAACAGUUGCCUAGACCUCCUCUGCUUCAGAGAGGAGUGUGGAGAGAAUCCCAGGCUCUGGCCUUGAUUGGAAUUGCUCGGUGGCUUCAGUUCCUGAGGGAGGAACUGAGGACGCACAGACAUUCAGGUGGCUCAGCCAGGACAGCCACAGCAACUGGCGAACAAAGUCCUGGUGCUAGGAACCGCCACCGCCAACCUGUGAAGAACCCCAGCAGCAGUGGCUUAGCCAAUGGCACAGUGAGUGAGGAACCUACGACAGCCAGCGAUCCUGAAGAACUGUCGGUUGUUGGUGUGACAUCGCCGCCUGCUGCAGCCUCCAGUGUGUCCCCAAAUCCCAACACGACAUCUCUCCCUGCACCGUCCACACCAGCUGA